rnacentral:lncRNA from 1 species
GAAAUUUUUGGUGAUUUUGAAGUAGGUUUUAUGUUAAUACACACACCUAGGUUCUGUGGAUUUAAUUUUUGUGCUGAUUUACUAAAUGCUUUCCAUGACAUUCUCCAUGACAUUACUGUCUGAGAUCAAAUCGAGUGUUGUCUUUCAUCACAGCUUCCACUGCAAAUUCUGUUUGAUGAACAAGGCAAUGAAUCAAGUUUAACAUGGGAAGAUUUUCAUCAGCAAUGCAAUCUUGGUUAAGAAAAGAUGAUUAUGGAUAUUUUGAGAAGAAAAUGACAACAAGGAAUCUGAAAGUAAGAGCUUAUUAUGGUAAGCAAACAUGCGUUGUGUUAAGUUUCCUGGCACUAACCAUGUGAUUGAUGAGUUA